GGGUUCAUGGAUCUGUCCUGAGAGGAGGACGAGGUGUCUCCAAUGCCAAGCUUCGGCAGCAGAAGCAGCAGCCACAGCGUACACAAAAGCCCGAACUGUUGGGAGGCGGAGGGUGGAGGGAUCCUGAGAGAGGGACUGCGGCCGGAUGCCCAGCUGUCGGAGCCCCGGCCAGUGUCUUCUGCAGUUACAUUGCCUUCACUGGUCAUGAGAGGAGGGGCUGUGGUAGGGCCUUGAAGGACGCCUGUGGAGCCAGAGGCCAUUGGAUUGCAGGCAGCCAAGAGCUACCUCGCCCCUGCUAUCUGCUGUGGCCCUCGCCGGGAUGCGAUGCCCUGACAUGGGUUGCCUGGAGCUGUGCGCAAUGAGCAAGGGGACGGCUGAUGGCCCUCCCAGAUCUGCAUGGCCUGGAAACCAUAAAACUCUUGGGAACUAUCACAUCUUCCCCAGCUACAGGAAGAAUAGAAGUAGUGUUGGAGAAGUCAAGGGGUCAGAAGUACUGGGGGCGUUCCCAGGUUCAGCCAGAAACAGUUCACAAGAGAGUUUUAAAUAAAGUGUACCUGUGGCUAAAUAUGACCUACUGAUUACUCUUAAUUUUUUCGCCACAUUUAUUGAGCUAUGAUUUACAUAUUGAAAAGUAUGUAUGUUUAGGGUGUACAAUAGAGUGCUUUUAGAUGUGUAUAUAUCUUUAAAUUACCUCAAGCUGGUUAACAUAUCUAUCCCCACACAUAGUUACCUUAUACGUUUCUGUGUAUGUGGUGAGGGCACCUGAGAUCUACUUUUGUAAACAAAUUUCAAGUACAGGUUAUUAUUAGCUAUAGUCACCAUUCUGCACAUAAGGUCCCCAGAAGUUUUUUAUUAUGUAACUGAAGGUAUGCACCCUUCGAUGGGUAUCUCCCCACUUUUCCCCAAUUCUUAGCCCAUGGUAACUACCAUUCUAGUCUCUGUUUCAUUUUUUCUUUCUUUCUUUCUUUUUCUUUCUUUCUUUAAGAUUUCACAUUAAAAUGAGAUCAAGCAGUAUUUGUCUUUCUGUAUUUCGCUUAUUUCACUUAGCAUAAUGUCUUCAAGGUUCAUCAACAUUGUUGUAAAUGAAACAAUUUCAUUCUUUAUUAAAGCUGAAAUUAUCUCUUUCUCACAGUUUACCUAUUUAUUUGUAUCAGAGGAGUGCAGGUACGCUUGGUGAUACUAAUUUUAUGUCUAUUGGCUGUAUACUCCAAAUUGGGAUUAAAGAUACUUCUAGUUUAAAAAUUUUAAGGAACCUCCCUACUGGUUUUCUUGUUUGUUUUUUUGUGUUGUUUUUUUGUUUAUAAUGGCUGCACCAGUGAGCAUGUUCAGCAAUGGUGGACAAAUAUUCUCCUUUCUCUGCACCCUAACACUUUUUGUAUUUUGAAUUUUUGAUAAUAGCUGUGCUAACACCACGAUGAGGUGAUAUCUCAUUGUGAUUUUGAUUUUCAUUACUUUGAUAAUUAGCAAUGUUGAGAAUCUUUUUAUAUACCUGCUGGCCACUUGUAUGUCUUUGGGAAAACAUCUAUUCAGAUAUUUUGCCCAGUUUAUCAGGAAAUUGGUUUUUGUUUUGUUCUGCUGUGAGUUUUUUUUUCCACAUUGACUAGUGUUAUGUAUAUUUUGGAUAGCAACAUCUUAUCCUACAUAUGGUUUACAAAUAUUUUCUUCCAUCCCAUAUAUUGUCUUUAUAUUUUGUUGAUUGUUUUCUUUAUUGUGGAGAAAGUUUUUACUUUGAUAUAGCUCCACUUUUUUAUUUUUGCAUUAGUUGCUUGUGUUCUUUCUGUCAAAGCCAAAACAUCGUUGCCACCACCAGUGUCAAGGAGCUUUCUCCCUGUUUUUUUUUUUAGAGGAUUCAUUAUUUCAGUUCUAAUGUUUAUGUCUUUAUUUUAAACUCAUUUUUGUGAUAAGAGAAGGCUUUACUUUUUUGUGUGUGCAUAGCUAGUUUUUUCUAACACCAUUUCUUGAUGUGUCUAUCUUUUCCUAAUUUGGUGGGAUCAGUUUACUGUAUAUGUGUGAAUUUAUUUCUGGGUCCUCUAUUCUAUUCCAUUUGUUUCUAUGUAGGUACUAUACUUUCUUGAUGAGUAUAGCUUUGUAAUAUUGUUUGAAAUCAAGAAGUUUGAGGCUUUCAGCCUUUUUAUUCUUCUCAAUAUUUGGCUAUUUGGGGUCUUUUGUGGCUCCAUACUAAUUUUACAAAUGUUUGUUUUACAUUUAUUUUAAUGGCAUUAAAAUUUUGAUAGAAAUUUAUUUAACUGUAGAUAACUUUAUGUAGUAUAGAUAUUUUAACAAUGUUAAUUUUUAGAAUCGAUGAACACAGGAUAUAUUUUCCAUUUUGUAUUCUUCAAUUUUUUAUCAUCAUUUUAUAGUUUUCAGUAUGCAGAUCUUUACUAUUCUUCGUUAAACUCAUUCUAUUUAAUGACUUAAGUAUUUAAUUCUAUUUGAUAAUAUUGUAAAUGGAAUUGUUUUCUUUAUUCCUUUCUCAGAUACUUUGUUGUUACUGUACAAAAAUGCAACUGAUUUUCAUGUUAAUAUUGUAUCCUGUAAGUUUAUUGAAUUUGUUUUUCAGCUAUAACAUGGUUUUGUUGUUGUUUUUGGCAAAGUGGUGGGUAUUUUUAAGGCUAGUUAUACUUUACAUGGAUAGUUGCUACUAUCAUUCUUUAAAAUAUGACCACAAGGGUUUCUGUUGUCAUGACUUCAGUGGAAUUCAGAUCUUCCCAUUUGAAAUAAUUUUGUCGGUUUUGCCUGGGCCCCGGGAUGGGUGGGGGGGCCACCCCACGGGAGUCGGGAGAUUCAGGAUAAGGAGGGAGAAGCGGUCAGGGAGGAGGCUGAGCGCGGAAAGCAGACAGGCUCCAGGGACAGCAGGGAGGAGAGGGAUUCCUGUCAGUGACCCAGUGGGGAGAGAGAAUGGGCCAGAAGAGGGGAAAGGGUGGGAGUGGGCAUCAGGACUGCUUCCUGACACGGGUGGGGGGCAGGGAACUUUGCUAAAACUGCAGGCCCCAGGGAACAGUGCAGGUAGGGUGGGAGGGAGUAGAGAAGACCAGGCGGACCCCAAAGUCAUUUGAGAAAGGGGUAUUUCCCAGUUCCUUCACCUCUGCCCAGCGUUCUGUGGGCAUGGACCCCAGGGCCAGGGUAGGGGAGGAGGCGGCUCCUGGCAUGCAGGGAGAGCUGAGGAGCGCACACCCGCUUUGUAGGGCGGUGUGAUGGUGGAAGCAAGUGAAGGCUGAGGAUACCGUUGGCUCAGUGGAUGGGCUCGGGGGGCAGGGGUGGGGUCGAGCUCACAGGGCCCAGCACCCGGACCUGCAGGUGGCCCUGGAGGAAUCCACCCGCCCGUGCCUUCCAAGAGACCAGUGUGCGAGGCGCCGCGGACACGCCUUUUCUAGCUGGAACAUUUGUGAGGCUGGAAUUUAAGCUCUGGCAGACAGGCGGCAGAAGAAGGACUGGAAGAAACCCAAGUGCAAAGUCCAGCCCAAGGAGAGGAAGCGGAAAUGCCUGGCCUGGUCAAACUGUGCUCUGACUAGAAGAUUCUGGGCUGGAUGGUCACCGUCCUAUAGAGACGCAGGCUCAGUGGGACUUCGAGGAGCACCAGGGACCCAGUGCAGCAAAGCAGAGCGGGCGGUGAGGACCCACAGCUACUGCUUCCCUGCACAGUUCGCCUUCUCCAAGGCCCAGCCCCCAGCUGAGCCCAGCAGUGAGUUGCAUGGAGCCUCCUGGAACACUGCCUCGGGUGACCGGUGGAAGACCCCACCUCCCAGGGAGAGGACCGUACUAUGUCCUCAGACAAUAAAGCAGCUCCUCCGACCAGAAAAAUAAAUAAAUAAAUAAAAUAUAAAAAUGUUGUUUGCUUUUCGAAAAUAAUUUGUAUCCUGUUUACUGGUCAACAUACUGCCCAUUUCUCUAUAUGCCUAAUUAGUCAAACUUUUAAAUGAAAUUAUUUAACAUUACGAUUUUUAUUAUGAAACAAAACAGUAAAUUUUGUAAUGGUUUUAAUAUCAUCUAAUAGGAUUGAAAAUAUGUCAAUUUGUCAUUGCCAAUGAAUAUUUGUGUUAUUUAUUUUAUACUGUUAGAUAUUCUGUCUACAAAUGUCUAAUGGCUUAGAAUCUUGCUUAACAUAUUGUAUGUGCUAAGUCCUAACUAUUCCAAUUCAUCAAAUUAUCUUUUUAUACCAUUCUUAAAAAUACAAUAUUAUUUUUUAUUUUUAUUAAAGUUAUUUUUCUAAUAUAAAUAUUUAUGAAAAUUAUAAAGUCUAUUCAGUCUGCCCUCUUGUCAGUUGCCCUCUUGUCAAAACUGAAAAAAAGUCAGUUUUUUUCUCUUUAUUAAUACACUAGAGGGUAUAAAUGUAGCUUCAUUACAGGGACAUGUUGCAUAGGGAUGAAGUGUGGGCUUCUGUGCAACAAUCAUCUGAACGGUGCUCAUUUUCCCAGUUAGGUAUUUUCUCAUUCCUAACCCCUCUACCAACCUCCCAUAUUUGUGAGUCUCCAGUGUCUAUUUUUCCAAUCUCUAUGUCCAAGUGUAUGCAUUAUUGAGCUCCCACUUGUAAGUAAGAAAAUGUAGUGCUUUAUGUUCUGUUUCUGAAUUAUUUCACUUACAAUAAUGGCCUCCAGUUGCAUUCAUGUUGCUGCAAAAGACAUGAUUUUAUUCUUUAUGGCUGAGUAGUUUUCCAUGGAAUAAAUGUAUAGUACAUUUUCUUUAUCCAAUCAUUGACUGAUAAAUUUAAACUGACUCCAUAUCGUUGCUAUUGUGAAUAGUGCUGCAAUAAACAUAUGAGUGUGGGUAUCUUCUUUAUGUAAUGAAUUAUUUUCCUUCGGGUAGAUACCCAGUAGAGGAAGUGCAGGAUCAAAUGGAAAUUCCAUUUUUAGUUUUUCUGAAAAAUCUUUAUACUGUUUGCCAUAGAGGUUGUAGAAAUUUACACUCCCUCGAACAAUGAAUAAGUGUUCUCUUUUCUCUGUAUCCUUGCCAGUAUCUGUCAUUUUUCUGCUUUUUAAUAAUUAGCCAUUAUGAAUGGUAUAAAAUGGUACUUCAUUGCGAUUUUUAAUUGGAAUUUCUCUGAUCAUUGGCAAUGUUUAACAUUUUUUACAUGCUUCUUGGCAAUCAUUGUCUUCUAUUUGAAAAAUAUCUGUUCUCAUUCUUUGCCUGCUUUAUAGUGAGGUUACUUGUUUUAUUCUUGUUGUUUGAUUUCCUUGUAUAUUGUAGACAUUAGUUCUUUGUCACAUGUAUAGUUCACAAACAUUUUUCUCAUUUCAUGGGUUGUCUGCUCACCUGCUAAUUAAAAGCUCCUUUUCAGGAACUUUUUAGUUUAAUUAAGUUCCAUUUGUCUAUUUUUGUUAUUGCUACAUCUGCUUUUGAGAUCUUGGUCAUGAAUUAUUUGCCCAGGCCAAUGUCCAGAAGCAUUUAUCAUUGGGUUUCUUCUAGAAUUUUUAUCAUUUCAGGUCUAACAUUUUAGUCUUUUAAUCCAUGUUGAGUUGAUUUUUUUACAUGGUGAGAGUCACGGGUUCCAUUUCAUACUUCUGCAUGUGGUAAUAUAAUUUUUCAAGCACAACAUGUUGAAUAGAAUGUCAUUUUUCCAUGUAUGCUUUUAUUGAUUUUGUAAAUGAUCAGUACGUGGCUUUAUUUCUAGGUUCUCUAUUCUCUUACAUUGAUCUGGGUGUCUAUUUGUAUCAGUACCAUGUUGUGUUGGUUAUUCAAGCUUUCUAGUAUAAUUUUAAGUCAGGUAGUGUAAUAUCUCCAACUUUGUUCUCUUUGCUUAAAUGUGCUUUGGCUAUUCAGACUUUGCUAUGGUUACAAAUAAAUUUAAUUCUUUUGCUAAUUCUAUGAAAAAUAACAUUGGCAUUUUGGUAGGAAUUGCAUUUAAUAUGUAGAUUUUUGGAGGGCAAUAUGGUCAUUUUAAUGAUAAUUCUUCCAAUCCAUUAGCAGGGAUGUUUUUCUCAUUUGUUUGUAUUAUGUACAAUUUUUUUCAUCAAUGUUUUGUAGUUUUCCUUGUAGAUAUCUUUCACCUGUUUGAUUAAUUGUAUUUCCAGGUACUUUUGUAGCUAUUGUAAAAGGAAUUGACUUUUUAAUUUGGUUCUCAGCUUGAUCAUUAUUAGUGUAUAAAAAUGCUACUAAUUUUUCUACAUUGAUUUUUAAUAAUCCUGAAACAUUAUUAAAUUUCAUUUAUCCAAUCUAAAAGGUUUUUG
rnacentral:lncRNA from 1 species